UUGAACGCUGGCGGCAUGCCUUACACAUGCAAGUCGAACGGUAGAGGGGCAACCCUUGAGAGUGGCGAACGGGUGAGUAAUAUAUCGGAACGUGCCCAGUCGUGGGGGAUAACGCAGCGAAAGCUGCGCUAAUACCGCAUACGAUCUAUGGAUGAAAGCGGGGGAUCGCAAGACCUCGCGCGAUUGGAGCGGCCGAUAUCAGAUUAGGUAGUUGGUGGGGUAAAAGCCCAC
rnacentral:rRNA from 1 species